rnacentral:rRNA from 1 species
GAUGAACGCUGGCGGCGUGCCUAAUACAUGCAAGUCGAGCGAACGGACGAGAAGCUUGCUUCUCUGAUGUUAGCGGCGGACGGGUGAGUAACACUUGGAUAACCUACCUAUAAGACUGGGAUAACUUCGGGAAACCGGAGCUAAUACCGGAUAAUAUUUUAAACCGCAUGGUUAAAAAGUGAAAGACGGUCUUGCUGUCACUUAUAGAUGGAUCCGCGCUGCAUUAGCUAGUUGGUAAGGUAACGGCUUACCAAGGCAACGAUGCAUAGCCGACCUGAGAGGGUGAUCGGCCACACUGGAACUGAGACACGGUCCAGACUCCUACGGGAGGCAGCAGUAGGGAAUCUUCCGCAAUGGGCGAAAGCCUGACGGAGCAACGCCGCGUGAGUGAUGAAGGUCUUCGGAUCGUAAAACUCUGUUAUUAGGGAAGAACAUAUGUGUAAGUAACUGUGCACAUCUUGACGGUACCUAAUCAGAAAGCCACGGCUAACUACGUG